CUAGGUGGGUGUCCUAUUUUCUAUUGGUUAGUUCCUAUUUUUCUUAUUCUGUGUUGCUCUUAUUUCCCAUAUUUCAUAUUCCUGUGAUUUUAUUCUAUUAUUUCCUAUUCUUUAUUUUGGUUAUGUCAUCCAUCCCCUUGUUUAUUAUCCUUAUCUUGAACCGGGGGUCUAUCAGAAACAGCCUCUCUACUUCUUCGGAGGUAGCGGUAUGGACUGCGUACAUCUUACCCUCCCCAGACCCCACGCUGUGAGAAUACACUGGGUUUGUUGUUGUAUUUUUAGUCAUGAAACAAUUAAAUAUGUGCCUGCAGUGAACCCACGUGGUAGCCUUGUGUCUUGUGAUGAAAGUUGAAUCAGUUCAUCCUUUCAUCCUAAUUUUUCUUUUUCUAAACUAUGAAACAUCGUUUUCUUUGCCAAAAGAAUAAAUACAUACUUGAUACUACCACCUAAUAUUUUCAUCAAUUAUCAAAUUUACUACUGGAUUUUUCUUCUAAUUUCAAAUAUUACUAGUUAAUAUUUGUUUUAAAAAGUGUGUAAUUUUAUUCUCAUCAAAUUAAAAAAAAAAAACUAUACCUCCCAAAUCUCAAUUCCCAAAUCGAUCAUUGCUCCUAACGACUACACCUCUGCUUUUCUAGUCCUUGCCGCUGCUGCCGUCAGAUUUUUGUCAUCGCCGGCAAAGGUCGCGGCCUCAACCUCAUCAGCCACCUCUCACCACAUCCAUUGCUAACUUGCUAUCUCAACAUCAACCGAUUGCCUACUGCGCUUUGUAAGUUACUUUUAAAGAUUUUUUUUGUUCUCUUUCUUGAACCUAGAAACUCAAAUUUUGAAUUAUCUUGAUUUAGGAUUGAGAAAGUAUUCUAAUUUUGUGAAUUGAGAUGGAGAACUUUUUCAAGAAGGUUAAUUAUUCUCAAUCAAGUUCUAGUAAUGCUAAUGCAAAUCGUUCUUGUUUUAUAACUCAUCUCGAUUGGGUUCACUUAAAGCCGAUCCAGGAGAAAGAAGACCAAUUUCUAAUUAUGAUUCUCGAAUACAAGAUAAAGUGAGGAAAUAUUAUAUUGAGAAACGGCCUUGUCAACCUAUCUUAAAACCAAUCCUUCAAGUGAAAUCAGAGGUAGAAUGCGCCAAUUUGUUUCAAGUUGGUUCAAAGGUUCACAUUCUAGUUGGUUGGAGUAUAGUGUGGAGAAAGAUGCCGCAUAUUGUCUUUGUUGAUAUUUAUUCAAAAAUAAAUUUGUUCAUGAAUCUACGACUAAUUUUUAUGCAACGAAGGGUUUUAGGGGUUGGAAUAGGGCUCUUGAAAGAUCUCGUUUACAUGUAGGUAAAGUUAAUAGUGUUCACAACAAAUGUUACAAUAAGAUGCUAGAUUUGUCAAAUCAUCGUCAAUCAAUUCAAGUUAUUCUUGACAAACAUUCUCAAAAGUCAAAAAGUGAGCACCGAAUCCGUUUGGAAGCUUCAAUUGAUGUGGCGAGAAUUCUUUUGCAUCAUGGAUUGCCUUUUCGAGGUCAUGACGAAAGUGAAUCUUCAACUAAUCAAGGCUACUUAUUAGGAUUUUUGCAGGGGCAUGGAGACAAACAUCCGAAUGUGAAAAAAGUGAUAAGAAAAAGCUCCACAAAAUGAUACUUUAACUUGUCCUAUGAUCCAAAAGGAUAUUGUCAAUGCUUGUGCAAAAGAAACAUCGAAAGUUAUAAUUGGGGACUUGAAUAGAGAUUACUUUGGUAUAUUAGUUGAUGAAUCCAAAGACAUCUCACACAAAGAACAAAUGACUCUUGUUUUGAGGUAUGUUGAUAAGAACAGUGAAGUAGUAAGAACAUCGGCAUGCUAAUUAAAGAAAGAAAUUUAUUCUUUGCUUUCCGAUCACUCACACAGUCCAUCCAAAAUACGUGGACAAGGUUAUGACAGAGCUAGUAAUAUGAAGGGAAAGACAAAUAGUCCCAAAACUUUAAUUAUGAAAGAUAGUCCUUCGACAUAUUAUACUCAUUGUUUUGCACAUCAAUUGCAACUAACACUUAGCUAUUGCUAAAAAACAUUUAGAAGUUGAAGACUUUUUUGAUAAUGUUACUAAUGUGUUGAAUGUUGUUAGAUGAUCUUUUAAGCAUAGCGAUUUACUUCGUCAUCACCAAGUUGAAAAUUUGAAACAAUAACUUAAAUCAAGUGAAGCUCAUACAGGACAAGGAUUACAUCAAGAACGUGGGCUUCAAAGACCAGGUGAUACUUGUUGGGGGAUCAUAUUUCAAAACAUUAAAUAACUUUCUUAUUAUUUUCUCAUCUAUUGUUCUUGUGCUUGGAGUGAUUAAAAUUGAAGGUUCUACCCUCAAGUUAUAGAAAUCAAGCAGAAUAUCUUUUGACAAAUGUUAAAACAUUUAAAUUUAUUUUUAUGCUUUACUUGAUGUUGAAAGUGUUGGUCAUGUCAAAUGAGUUGAGCAAGAUUUUAAAAAAAAAUAAAAAAUCAAGAUAUUGUUAAUGUUGUGGAGUUUCUUAAUAUCUCAAAGAAAAGAUUUGCAAGAUAUGAGAGAAAAUGUGUGGGAAUCUUUGUUGGGUGAUUUUUCUUCAUUGUGUGAUUCCGUGAUAUCUUGAUUCCCAAAUUAAAUGAGCCUUAUUUUCCUGAAAGUCAAACAGUAAGUGUUUGGAUGUUUGUUAUUUGCACCACUUGCGUGUUGAAAUCUUUUGUGUUGUCAUUGAUAUGCAACUUCAAAAGCUUAAUGAUCGUUUUGAUAUAACGAGAGAGAUUUGCUUCUUGCGAUAGGCAACUUGAAUCCUAUCAAUUCUUUCUCCAACUUUGAUAAAGGCAGAAUCAUGACUUUAGCAAACUGUUAUCCAAGUGAGUUUGAUGAUGGAAAGCUUCGAGAUUUGAGUUACCAACUCAAUACUUUCAUAAUUCAUAUGCGAGGUGGUGAUUCCAAGUUCUCCAACUUGCAAGGAAUUCGUGAUUUGGCAAAGACAUUAGUUGAGGCAAAUCUUGUGGAGACUUAUUCACUUAUUUAUUUACUUGUGAAGUUGACUCUAAUUUUACCUGUUGCUACGACAAUUGUAGAGAGAGCAUUCUCGUCCAUGAAGCAUAUAAAAAAUGAAGUGCGAAAUAGUAUUGGUGAUCAAUAUUUAAAUGAUUGUUUAGUAUGUUACAUAAAGCAUGAUCGGAAACAGCCUUUCUACUUCUUCAGAGGUAGAGGUAUGGACUGCGUACAU
rnacentral:lncRNA from 1 species